GACGUAGGGCGCGAGCGUUGUCCGGAUUUAUUGGGCGUAAAGGGCUCGUAGGCGGUUUGUCGCGUCGGGAGUGAAAACCAUGGGCUUAACUCAUGGCUUGCUUCCGAUACGGGCAGACUAGAGGCAUGCAGGGGAGAACGGAAUUCCUGGUGUAGCGGUGAAAUGCGCAGAGUAUCAGGAGGAACACCGGUGGCGAAGGCGGUUCUCUGAGCAUGUCCUGACGCUGAGGAGCGAAAGUGUGGGGAGCGAACAGG
rnacentral:rRNA from 1 species